rnacentral:rRNA from 1 species
AUUGGACGCCGGCGGCAUGCCUUACACAUGCAAGUCGAACGGCAGCACGGAGCUUGCUCUGGUGGCGAGUGGCGAACGGGUGAGUAAUAUAUCGGAACGUACCCAAGAGUGGGGGAUAACGUAGCGAAAGUUACGCUAAUACCGCAUAAGAUCUAAGGAUGAAAGCAGGGGAUCGCAAGACCUUGUGCUCCUGGAGCGGCCGAUAUCUGAUUAGCUAGUUGGUGAGGUAAAGGCUCACCAAGGCAUCGAUCAGUAGCUGGUCUGAGAGGACGACCAGCCACACUGGAACUGAGACACGGUCCAGACUCCUACGGGAGGCAGCAGUGGGGAAUUUUGGACAAUGGGGGCAACCCUGAUCCAGCAAUGCCGCGUGAGUGAAGAAGGCCUUCGGGUUGUAAAGCUCUUUUGUCAGGGAAGAAACGGUGAAGGCUAAUAUCCUUUGCUAAUGACGGUACCUGAAGAAUAAGCACCGGCUAACUACGUGCCAGCCGCCGCCGUAA